GACGAACCACCCAAACGUUAUUCGGAAUUACUGGGCUUAAAGGGUGCGUAGGCGGCGCGGAAAGUCAGGUGUGAAAUCCCUCGGCUCAACCGAGGAAUGGCGCUUGAAACUACCGUGCUCGAGGAAGACAGAGGUAAGCGGAACUUCGGGUGGAGCGGUGAAAUGCGUUGAUAUCCGAAGGAACACCGGUGGCGAAAGCGGCUUACUGGGUCUUUUCUGACGCUGAUGCACGAAAGCCAGGGGAGCAAACGGG
rnacentral:rRNA from 2 species